UACAGAGGGUGCGAGCGUUGUUCGGAAUUAUUGGGCGUAAAGGGCGCGUAGGCGGUGCGGUAAGUCACCUGUGAAAUCUCCUGGCUCAACUGGGAGCUUGCAGGCGAAACUGCCGUGCUGGAGUGUGGGAGAGGUGCGUGGAAUUCCCGGUGUAGCGGUGAAAUUCGUAGAUAUUGGGAAGAACACCGGUGGCGAAGGCGGCCAACUGGACCACAACUGACGCUGAGGCGCGAAAGCGUGGGGAGCAAACAGG
rnacentral:rRNA from 1 species